rnacentral:rRNA from 1 species
GGUUAAGCGACUAAGCGUACACGGUGGAUGCCCUGGCAGUCAGAGGCGAUGAAGGACGUGCUAAUCUGCGAAAAGCGUCGGUAAGGUGAUAUGAACCGUUAUAACCGGCGAUGUCCGAAUGGGGAAACCCAGUGCAAUUCGUUGCACUAUCGUUAACUGAAUACAUAGGUUAACGAGGCGAACCGGGGGAACUGAAACAUCUAAGUACCCCGAGGAAAAGAAAUCAACCGAGAUUCCCCCAGUAGCGGCGAGCGAACGGGGAGCAGCCCAGAGUCUGAAUCAGCUUGUGUGUUAGUGGAACGGUCUGGAAAGUCCGACGGUACAGGGUGAUAGUCCCGUACACCAAAAUGCACAGGCUGUGAACUCGAAGAGUAGGGCGGGACACGUGGUAUCCUGUCUGAAUAUGGGGGGACCAUCCUCCAAGGCUAAAUACUCCUGACUGACCGAUAGUGAACCAGUACCGUGAGGGAAAGGCGAAAAGAACCCCGGCGAGGGGAGUGAAAAAGAACCUGAAACCGUGUACGUACAAGCAGUGGGAGCACCUUCGGGUGUGACUGCGUACCUUUUGUAUAAUGGGUCAGCGACUUAUAUUCUGUAGCAAGGUUAACCGUAUAGGGGAGCCGCAGGGAAACCGAGUCUUAACUGGGCGUUAAGUUGCAGGGUAUAGACCCGAAACCCGGUGAUCUAGCCAUGGGCAGGUUGAAGGUUGGGUAACACUAACUGGAGGACCGAACCGACUAAUGUUGAAAAAUUAGCGGAUGACUUGUGGCUGGGGGUGAAAGGCCAAUCAAACCGGGAGAUAGCUGGUUCUCCCCGAAAGCUAUUUAGGUAGCGCCUCGUGAACUCAUCUUCGGGGGUAGAGCACUGUUUCGGCUAGGGGGUCAUCCCGACUUACCAACCCGAUGCAAACUACGAAUACCGAAGAAUGUUAUCACGGGAGACACACGGCGGGUGCUAACGUCCGUCGUGAAGAGGGAAACAACCCAGACCGCCAGCUAAGGUCCCAAAGUCAUGGUUAAGUGGGAAACGAUGUGGGAAGGCACAGACAGCCAGGAUGUUGGCUUAGAAGCAGCCAUCAUUUAAAGAAAGCGUAAUAGCUCACUGGUCGAGUCGGCCUGCGCGGAAGAUGUAACGGGGCUAAACCAUGCACCGAAGCUGCGGCAGCGACACUAUGUGUUGUUGGGUAGGGGAGCGUUCUGUAAGCCUGCGAAGGUGUGCUGUGAGGCAUGCUGGAGGUAUCAGAAGUGCGAAUGCUGACAUAAGUAACGAUAAAGCGGGUGAAAAGCCCGCUCGCCGGAAGACCAAGGGUUCCUGUCCAACGUUAAUCGGGGCAGGGUGAGUCGACCCCUAAGGCGAGGCCGAAAGGCGUAGUCGAUGGGAAACAGGUUAAUAUUCCUGUACUUGGUGUUACUGCGAAGGGGGGACGGAGAAGGCUAUGUUAGCCGGGCGACGGUUGUCCCGGUUUAAGCAUGUAGGCUGGUUGUCCAGGCAAAUCCGGAUAAUCAAGGCUGAGGUGUGAUGACGAGGUACUACGGUGCUGAAGUAACAAAUGCCCUGCUUCCAGGAAAAGCCUCUAAGCAUCAGGUAACAUUAAAUCGUACCCCAAACCGACACAGGUGGUCAGGUAGAGAAUACCAAGGCGCUUGAGAGAACUCGGGUGAAGGAACUAGGCAAAAUGGUGCCGUAACUUCGGGAGAAGGCACGCUGGUGUGUAGGUGAAGUCCCUGCGGAUGGAGCUGAGACCAGUCGAAGAUACCAGCUGGCUGCAACUGUUUAUUAAAAACACAGCACUGUGCAAACACGAAAGUGGACGUAUACGGUGUGACGCCUGCCCGGUGCCGGAAGGUUAAUUGAUGGGGUUAUCCGUAAGGAGAAGCUCUUGAUCGAAGCCCCGGUAAACGGCGGCCGUAACUAUAACGGUCCUAAGGUAGCGAAAUUCCUUGUCGGGUAAGUUCCGACCUGCACGAAUGGCGUAAUGAUGGCCAGGCUGUCUCCACCCGAGACUCAGUGAAAUUGAACUCGCUGUGAAGAUGCAGUGUACCCGCGGCAAGACGGAAAGACCCCGUGAACCUUUACUAUAGCUUGACACUGAACAUUGAGCCUUGAUGUGUAGGAUAGGUGGGAGGCUUUGAAGCGUGGACGCCAGUCUGCGUGGAGCCAACCUUGAAAUACCACCCUUUAAUGUUUGAUGUUCUAACGUUGGCCCCUUACCGGGGUUGCGGACAGUGUCUGGUGGGUAGUUUGACUGGGGCGGUCUCCUCCCAAAGCGUAACGGAGGAGCACGAAGGUUAGCUAAUCCUGGUCGGACAUCAGGAGGUUAGUGCAAUGGCAUAAGCUAGCUUGACUGCGAGCGUGACGGCGCGAGCAGGUGCGAAAGCAGGUCAUAGUGAUCCGGUGGUUCUGAAUGGAAGGGCCAUCGCUCAACGGAUAAAAGGUACUCCGGGGAUAACAGGCUGAUACCGCCCAAGAGUUCAUAUCGACGGCGGUGUUUGGCACCUCGAUGUCGGCUCAUCACAUCCUGGGGCUGAAGUAGGUCCCAAGGGUAUGGCUGUUCGCCAUUUAAAGUGGUACGCGAGCUGGGUUUAGAACGUCGUGAGACAGUUCGGUCCCUAUCUGCCGUGGGCGCUGGAGAAUUGAGGGGGGCUGCUCCUAGUACGAGAGGACCGGAGUGGACGCAUCACUGGUGUUCGGGUUGUCAUGCCAAUGGCACUGCCCGGUAGCUAAAUGCGGAAGAGAUAAGUGCUGAAAGCAUCUAAGCACGAAACUUGCCCCGAGAUGAGUUCUCCCUGAGACUUUAAGUCUCCUGAAGGAACGUUGAAGACGACGACGUUGAUAGGCCGGGUGUGUAAGCGCAGCGAUGCGUUGAGCUAACCGGUACUAAUGAACCGUGAGGCUUAACCUU